rnacentral:rRNA from 1 species
UACGUAGGUGGCGAGCGUUGUCCGGAAUUACUGGGCGUAAAGGGCGCGUAGGCGGAUCGUUAAGUUGGACGUGAAAUACCCCGGCUCAACUGGGGGGCGACGUCCAAAACUGGCGGACUAGAGUGCAGGAGAGGAAAGUAGAAUUCCCAGUGUAGCGGUGAAAUGCGUAGAUAUUGGGAGGAAUACCGGUGGCGAAGGCGGAUAGCUGGCCUGUAACUGACGCUGAGACACGAAAGUGUGGGGAGCAAACAGG